GACAGAGGGUGCAAACGUUGUUCGGAAUUACUGGGCGUAAAGCGCGUGUAGGCGGCCCUGCAAGUCGGAUGUGAAAUCCCACGGCUCAACCGUGGAAGUGCAUUCGAAACUGCAGGGCUAGAGUCCUGGAGAGGAAGGUGGAAUGCUUGGUGUAGAGGUGAAAUUCGUAGAUAUCAAGCGGAACACCGGUGGCGAAGGCGGCCUUCUGGACAGUGACUGACGCUGAGACGCGAAAGCCAGGGGAGCGAACGGG
rnacentral:rRNA from 1 species